UACAGAGGGGGCGAGCGUUAUUCGGAAUUAUUGGGCGUAAAGGGCGCGUAGGCGGCUUUUCAAGUGACGGGUGAAAUCCCUCGGCUUAACCGAGGAACUGCCUGUCAGACUGGAAGGCUUGAGACCGGGAGAGGUGAGUGGAAUUCCCAGUGUAGCGGUGAAAUGCGUAGAUAUUGGGAGGAACACCAGUGGCGAAGGCGGCUCACUGGACUGGUACUGACGCUGAGGCGCGAAAGCGUGGGGAGCAAACGGG
rnacentral:rRNA from 1 species